GACAGAGGAUGCAAGCGUUAUCCGGAAUGAUUGGGCGUAAAGCGUCUGUAGGUGGCUUUUUAAGUCUGCCGUCAAAUCCCAGGGCUUAACCCUGGACAGGCGGUGGAAACUACCAAGCUGGAGUACGGUAGGGGCAGAGGGAAUUUCCGGUGGAGCGGUGAAAUGCGUAGAGAUCGGAAAGAACACCGGUGGCGAAAGCGCUCUGCUAGGCCGCAACUGACACUGAGGGACGAAAGCUAGGGGAGCGAAUGGG
rnacentral:rRNA from 1 species